rnacentral:rRNA from 1 species
AUGACUCCCUUUCACCUUGGGAUAUGGCAGCGCGAGGACUAGGGUAAUGAUUAAUAGGGAUAGUUGGGGGCAUUAAUAUUUAAUUGUCAGAGGUGAAAUUCUUGGAUUUAUGAAAGAUUAACUUCUGCGAAAGCAUCUGCCAAGGAUGUUUUCAUUAAUCAAGAACGAAAGUUAGGGGAUCGAAGACGAUCAGAUACCGUCGUAGUCUUAACCAUAAACGAUGCCGACCAGCGAUUAGGAGACGUUGAAUACAAAACACCACCAUCGGCGCGGUCGUCCUUGGCGUCUCGGUCCUUCACGGGGCCGGGGCGCGGGGGCGGCUUAGCCCGGUGGCACCGGUGAAUGACUCCCUAGCAGCUUGUGAGAA